UCAGGUCUCCAAGGUGAACAACCUCUGGCCAAUGGAACAAUGUAGGCAAGGGAAGUCGGCAAAACGGAUCCGUAACUUCGGGAAAAGGAUUGGCUCUGAGGACUGGGCUCGGGGGUCCCGGCCCCGAACCCGUCGGCUGUCGGCGGAUUGCUUGAGCUGCUCACACGGCGAGAGCGGGUCGCCGCGUGCCGGCCGGGGGACGGACCAGGAAUCGCCCCUUCGGUGGCUUUCCCCGAGCAU
rnacentral:rRNA from 1 species